UACGGAGGGUGCAAGCGUUAUCCGGAUUCACUGGGCUUAAAGGGUGCGUAGGCGGGCAGGUAAGUCAGUGGUGAAAUCUCCGAGCUUAACUCGGAAACUGCCAUUGAUACUAUCUGUCUUGAAUUUUCUGGAGGUGAGCGGAAUAUGUCAUGUAGCGGUGAAAUGCUUAGAUAUGACAUAGAACACCCAUGGCGAAGGCAGCUCACUACGGGACAAUUGACACUGAGGCACGAAAGCGUGGGGAUCAAACAGG
rnacentral:rRNA from 1 species